GACAGAGGGCUCAAACGUUGUUCGGAAUCACUGGGCCUAAAGGGCGCGUAGGCGUCUCGUUAAGUCGGUUGUGAAAUCCCCCGGCUCAACCGGGGAACGGCAUCCGAUACUGGCGGGCUCGAGGACGGGAGGGGUAAGUGGAACUCCAGGUGGAACGGUGAAAUGUGUAGAUAUCUGGAGGAACACCGGUGGCGAAAGCGGCUUACUGGCCCGUAUCUGACGCUGAGGCGCGAAAGCUAGGGGAGCAAACGGG
rnacentral:rRNA from 1 species